AUGACUUCUACGGGGAGUUGGGCCGUUGGCGAAGACGACGACCCAAAGACCGCCGUCGCAGCCGGCGGACUGCGAAGGAGGGCAAGCAUUCGCCGGUCUCCGAGGAGCCUGACGCCCUCCGCCGAGUGAAACGACCAGCCUCGAACUGGAGCCCAUGCCCUUAUCAUCGACGCCCUCCUCACCCAAUCCCUUAUCUUCUUCUGCUGCUGCUUGCAUCCCCUUGUAUCUGCAGAGUGCUUUUUAUUUUGACAACUGGAAUAAGGAACACUUACCAAAAGGUCUGCUUAGUUGAAUGGCCCUUUGAGCAUGUUUCCUUUGUCUCAAGGCAUAGAUUACUACAAGAAGAAGUCCAAUAAUCAGAAGGGCACAACCAACUGCUAUUCCAAUGAUCAAGCCAAUACUCAGUGCUGAUUUUACUUCAGUGCCUAGAAAUGACUUCUUUGGGUUAGUCUAGGCGAUGAUCUUGAAUUAUAUAUGUACACAAAGGAUUGAGAGGUCACCUGGGAAAGGAUAUGGGGAUGCAAUGAAGUAGUAAGGUCCAAAAAUUGGUGGAGGCUUGUAAGUUUGAUUGCUCAAAUCAAACCCAAUCUGCAAAAUUUCAGACCUGUUGAAGUACAUUCCGCUGGGUGGGAAAAGUUUAACUUGGACCUGCAGAUAAGAGUCACUGUUUAUGAAGGGAUUCUGAAGAAACACUGAUCCAGGAGGAAGGCCAAGUUUUGUCCACAGGCUGCUUUCCAGUGAUUGGAACAGUGUGUUGUUUGUCACAUCUCGGAAACGAGGUGCCCUGAAGAACAUCACUCCCUCAAAUGGGUAGGCACAGCUGCAACUCUGAGGGCUGAGACUCUGGUCUUGGGGACACAAGUUUGCUACACAAUUGGCGAGGCUGGUUGAGUAAGGUACUGCUGGCUUUUGUUGAAGACUACAAAAGUUCGUAUUGGAGAGAGAAUUGCACACAGGAUUUCCUACGAGUCUGCAGUCAGUGAUGGAUUUAGGAAAUGUUGCAUAAACAGGUAUGGUGAAUGAAAUGCACUGUAACUAAAAUGACAAAUAUCACAUUAGAGUUUUAUUGUAGUUGGCUGUCAGUUUGACUCCGGUAAGAUGAUUAUUUUUGAAAUUCACAAUUUGUAAUUGCUGGCUGAUGCUAUCACCCAUGUCAAGGGUACCAUUGAAUUCAUUGUCAUCAAGUAUCCUGUGAAAAGUUGACAAUAAUAGUUAUGUCAGACUGAGUGAGAAUUUCCUUUUCUUUUUUGUAUGGAUUCCUUCUUUCUCUGGUUCAUGAUUUUUCAUGACACUUACACUUGCUGUAAUUGAGGAAAGCCGAACAGCUUUUGUGGUACUUCUCCAUAAAGUCCUCCAGAUUCUAUCACACUGGAUAACAGGCAGCAAGGAAGCUUUGGUGAAAUUGCAAACUUGUUGACUAAAUUACUUGCUUCAUAGCGACAAUGGGUACCCAUUGAACUUACAGAGCUGUCAGAGAUUGUAGCUCCGAGAACCAAGCGGGGCUCUCUGAGGGAUCAAAUGUGUUAUUGCUUAAAUCUCUGAAGAUCAUGUCAAUGUCUUGCCAUUUACAGCUUGUUCAGGUAAUAAAACAAAAGUAGAUUUGCAAGAAAGCAUUUGCAGAAGUUGGAUGAGCUCUUACACAUAGUUGAGGUUAUCUAUCCCAGUCAGAUUUGGCAUUGGACCAGUUAACUUGUUAUUUGCUAGGUUUCUGAAAGAGAUGAAAGCAGGGAGUAGGUGCAACUAUUUUAUAAGAGUGCUGCAUGUGAAGACUACACGAUAUGAUGUAUCUUACAGUUCGUUGAUGCGCGUGAGAUUGUUAAUAUUGGAAGGAACUGUGCCACCUAGAGCAUUCCUGUCCAAUCGACUGUCAAAAAACGAAGAAAUUAGUUACUGAAGCAGAGCAUUGAAAAUUUUUGUCUGGUUGGUGGGCACUUACAGAACCUCAAGUGUUUGAACUAGUCCUAUGGAAGCUGGAAUUUCUCCAGUAAAUUUGUUCCCAUCGAAAAGCCUGCCCGUGUAGAAUGAUCAGGAGUCAUGGUAGAAGUGGAGUUACCAGAUUUAGCAGAAGUAAUGCAAGAUGGGAAAACAGCAGCUUACACAUGUAGCAAUGUCAUGUCAGAACUAAAAAGAUAUUCAGGGAUGGAACCUGAUAAUUGAUUCUUAUUGAAGUGGCUGUUCAGUGCAGGAUGCAGACGAAUCAUUCAUUAGAAAGCAAAUAAUACAAAAUUUCAUCUGUCAAUUCAUUUAAUCUGCAAUACUAAAUCUAAUUUUGACUUAUUUUUGUACUUUUUAGAAAUAUGACUUACAAAUGCUUUGUGUGGACAAGCUGGUCCAAGCCUGGUGAUGUUUUGGUAGAGAUUGGAAGAGACCCACUCAACUGAUUGUCUGCAACAUCAAACCAGUAAAGAUUGGAAAGCUUACCCAGGGAAGCUGGGAUGCUACCAGUGAACUGGUUUGAGUUAAGAGCCCUGGUGAGAAGAUAAAACUAUCAGUGGUGAGAAUUCAGAUGCUUGAUGGAUGUGUUAAAUAUUUUAGCUUGAAGACUCUGCGUUCUAAAGGUGAACUGAUUUGUGAUUAUUGAAAUCAAUCCUUACAAAUAUGAGAGGUUUACUAGAGAUCCUAGUUCAUCUGGGAUGUUCCCACUGAAGCUGCACCCUGCCAAGAUCCUGCCAAGUGGUGCAUAAUGUAGAGCAGUUCAGAAGCAUUACAUGAUGAAUACCUGAGAAUCUUUUGAAGCAAAUGGGUGAUUGUCGCGACAAGACUUCUGCCUUACAGGGUGGUAAUCUUCCUCAGGUUCGCAAUAUUUGGAGGGAGUGGACCACCAAGCUCACUAUUAUAGGAUAGAUCCCUGCAAAAGCUAUUUGCAAACUGCUCAAAGAACCAAUACUUGAGUUUGAAAGUGAACUUACAAGGUCUUCAGUUCACCAAGCUGCCCGAUGUCACCACUCAGUGUACCUUUGAUGCCCAUGGUUGACAGUCUCCUGAAAUAUGCAGAAGUCAAGUAGAGAAUUAAGAUAACAAAAACCAAAAAACAAGUUCAAAGAGGGGUUCUUUAGUGCUCAUGUUUGACAGUCUCCUGAAAUCAUGUGGAGAAUUGUGAUAAUUGAAACAAAAGAUUGUUCAGAAGAGAGGCUUACAGGACUGUCACUCUGGAAUUGCUGCAACCUAUUCCUUCCCAUGGUGUUCCACAAGGAUCAUCCGACUUUCCCCAGUUUGGAGGUGUGUUCUGCCACUGACUCAUCAAUGAACGCAGAGCAGCAGCUGAAAGUCGUAGCAGAAUAGCUUCUUAAGUCAAAAGGUACAAACAUAAGACAUCUGCUAAGCAUACAAGAAAUCUUUAAUCAGAUCCAAUAGUCAAGUGUCUGAUCCUUGCUGAGAAUUGUUCCUUGAAUUUUCUGUUAGAAGCUCUAUAAGUAUUUGUGACCAAGAACUAUUGGAGCAUGCAAAAUACUACAUGCAAUGGGGAGUUUUUCCGGCUCACUAGAAACGUGAAGUUGGAAUUUUUUUUUUGGUGAGUUGAGAAGAUCCUUUGUUCUUGCAGACAGGUUUGCGAAACAGAAUAGCAAUAACAAAGCUCAGCACUCUCAGGGGAACACUAAAACUACUACAGAUGUUGGCCCAAGAAGAAUGGAUCUCCCUCUUCUCUGCAUUCUGUUUUCCUGAUACUAGAAAGAGGAGAGAUAAACACAAGGAGUACAUACCAUCUUGGGGAUUUGUGCUUCCUGAACUGGAUCCUAAACUGACAAGGAAAACAGAUAGGGUGAAGAUGAGGGUUCCCAUCUCAGUCUGGCCUAGUAUAGAUGAAACUCCACCUCUCGCCAGACACAGUGAUCAGCUCAGCCUGGUAUUAGAAGCCAUAUUUUCUUGAAGUUAGUCUGCACAGGAGCCAACAACUGACUUGCCUGCCAUGAUUCUCCUCAUCAUAAGAUCUUGAAGCUGGCAAAAGAUCCUUUUGCCAAAAGCUGUGCCUUCUCUUCAAAGUCAGUCAACCUUGGAUGACCUCGUGAAACCAUUGAUUCCAGAAUGUCCAUUGCAAGAGGUAAGCAACUUAUCAUGUGCAAAACACAAUCAUUUGUUGGAUGUAGAGGAGGACGAGCUCAAUUGUCACAGCAUUAUCGGGGCCCUAGUUGGUGUUCUUUUUGACAACCGUAAGGACUCAGUCACUGGCAACCUUGGCGGAUGGUAGAACUCAUAAUUAUCAUUUUGUGCAUUUUGUUCUUUCCAUAUAACUCGUAAUUAUCAUUAGGCAAUCUCAGCUACGAGGACAUCACACAAUCAGCUGUGAUGAUGAGAGAGGCUACUCUUAGGCAUAAUCUUGGCUCAAAUAUAACCAGGAGACAUAAACUCCCCUGGUCUUCUAAGAGAGGCAACAAGGCUCAAGCUUUGCUUCUACUCAGGCUGACUGAUAGCAGUGGAAGUAACCUGAAGUUGCAGUUGUCACAUAUCCCAAGUCUUGGAUGGGCAAGGAUGCUUCUGCUGUUAGAUUGCAUGAACAGAGACAAAGCCAACCACAGUGGAGGGCGCUUGAGAAAGGAAGGGGUACAAUUUUGAAAUCUCAAACUCAGACAAAGAAAAAGAGGAUCAAACAAAACACAGUCAUAUGAAAGACCAUUAGUGGAAAGUAAUUAGGAUGUCAAAAACAAGAUAACACUUGUGAUAGUAUAUAUAUAUAUAUUCUUUUCUUUGAAUUUGGGACUUUGCUUUGAGUUUAAUUUAAGAUUUUUAUAUUUAGAUAUUAAAGAUUAACUAACUUUAAAGAGAAGACACUACCGAGAAUGGUGCUUUAGCUUAGAAUGUAAAGAAUGUAUCAUUGAUUUGUACGGUCAACACUAAAGAUUUGGAUUGGUGACAUUAUGACAAACUUCUUGUACAAGUCUACUAACGAGAUAUUAUGUUUGUA